CUCAGCCUGACUCCUGUCCCUAUGCCAGCAUCGUGUUUGACAGCAACAGAAAAGGUGACAAGACUCUCCGGGUUGCUGAUUCAGAAGAGAGUGAGUCAGCGGAUGUAACCUAUGCAGCUGUGGUGAAGACUCAUUAGGAGCGAAUAAGAACUGAGGUUGCAUUGUUUCUCAGAUCAAAUUCAAGGAACGUCAUGGAACUUACCGGCUCAAAAC